rnacentral:misc_RNA from 1 species
CGUGAGCGCUGUUGGCUCUUCAUCGCCUUUUCCCGAUGCCGUUGCCUUUUCUUUUUGAUUUGUUUGAUUUUUGCCCCCCCCCCCCCUUCAUCGGGAGAGUGCGUGUGUGUGUGUGUGUCUGUGGUAGCAGGAGGGGGUACUUUAGCUUUCUAUCGUCCCUCUCCCUCGGUGUUUCUUGUCUGGUUUAUCGUCCGUCGCCUCCAUGAUGACCUGUGGUCGCGUUACCGUUGACGAGGCCAUCGUAGCACUUUCCCCGGAGCUAACGUUACGCGCCUAUGAUUGUAACUGAGCCACCCCUUGUGCGUCCUCUCUGGCUCCUCCCUCUGUUUGGUUUGGUAGUGCCUUGUGCCCCUUCGCUCUUCUCGUGCCCGUCUCCUGCUUUUCUGUGCGCAUUCAUCCCCGUGGUGGCCUUUGCCUUCACCUCUUCUCUCGCAUGGCGUUUCAGCGUUUCACGGUUGCUCUCUCUUUUUUUCCUCAUUGCUCGCCUUUCGCCAUCGGUAAGCGGUAGCCGUUCACAGGUUUGUUGUCUGUCGUCGAUUGAAACGCGCGACCCACCCAGAGGUGCGCAUGUCCGUGUGUGAGCGCCGCCCAGUGCAUGAGGGAGCUGCCGGUGCGCCAGUGCGUAUUCAACGCACGAAACGAAGAAAUCCAGGGGCAAAGAGGAAAAAAAAAAAGACACUCGUUGUGGCGUGCCGCACCUUCUAUUUCCUGCUCUGUAGGUGACCGCUGCCCCGACCAGCCCGACCAUGCGCAGCCUCUUCUCCCCCUUUUGCGUGCACGACGGAACUUUCGAGGCUGCGCCACAUAACAAACAAAGAGAAAGAACAGACUUACAAGGCCACCCCUUUCAGCGCUACUGCUGUCGCUGCAGCAAGUCGCGCUCUUUUCGUUUAUCACGCUAGCCUUUCCUCCUCGACCUGGUGCCAUCUCACGUGCUUUCUGAAACACGCAAG